rnacentral:rRNA from 1 species
AACGAGCGAGAGAGAGCUUGCUUUCUCGAGCGAGUGGCGAACGGGUGAGUAACGCGUGAGGAACCUGCCUCAAAGAGGGGGACAACAGUUGGAAACGACUGCUAAUACCGCAUAAGCCCACGGCUCGGCAUCGAGCAGAGGGAAAAGGAGCAAUCCGCUUUGAGAUGGCCUCGCGUCCGAUCAGCUAGUUGGUGAGGUAAUGGCCCACCAAGGCAACGAUCGGUAGCCGGACUGAGAGGUUGAACGGCCACAUUGGGACUGAGACACGGCCCAGACUCCUACGGGAGGCAGCAGUGGGGAAUAUUGCACAAUGGGGGAAACCCUGAUGCAGCGACGCCGCGUGGAGGAAGAAGGUCUUCGGAUUGUAAACUCCUGUUGUUGAGGAAGAUAAUGACGGUACUCAACAAGGAAGUGACGGCUAACUACGUGCCAGCAGCCGCGGUAAAACGUAGGUCACAAGCGUUGUCCGGAAUUACUGGGUGUAAAGGGAGCGCAGGCGGGAAGACAAGUUGGAAGUGAAAUCUAUGGGCUCAACCCAUAAACUGCUUUCAAAACUGUUUUUCUUGAGUAGUGCAGAGGUAGGCGGAAUUCCCGGUGUAGCGGUGGAAUGCGUAGAUAUCGGGAGGAACACCAGUGGCGAAGGCGGCCUACUGGGCACCAACUGACGCUGAGGCUCGAAAGUGUGGGUAGCAAACAGGAUUAGAUACCCUGGUAGUCCACACCGUAAACGAUGAUUACUAGG